rnacentral:rRNA from 1 species
UACGUAGGGGGCUAGCGUUGUCCGGAAUCAUUGGGCGUAAAGAGCGUGUAGGCGGUUCGGUAAGUCCGCUGUGAAAGUCCAGGGCUCAACCCUGGAAUGCCGGUGGAUACUGUCGGGCUAGAGUCCGGAAGAGGAGAGCGGAAUUCCUGGUGUAGCGGUGGAAUGCGCAGAUAUCAGGAAGAACACCCGUGGCGAAGGCGGCUCUCUGGGACGGUACUGACGCUGAGGAGCGAAAGCGUGGGGAGCGAACAGG